rnacentral:rRNA from 1 species
UGGAUAACUUGCUGAUCGUAUGGCUUGUGCGCGACGUUUCCAUUGAGUUUCUGCCCUAUCAACUGUUGGUAGGUAUUGGCUACCAAGGUUGCAACGGGUAACGGGGAAUCAGGGUUCGAUUCCGGAGAGGGAGCUGAGAAACGGCUACCACAUCCAAGGAAGGCAACAGGCGCGCAAAUUACCCAAUCUAGACAGUAGGAGGUGGUAAAGAGAAUUACUAAGUGGUGGUCGAAUUGAUCACUUGUUUGGAAUGAACGUAACUUAAGAAAUUCGAUGAUAAACAACUGGAGGGCAAGUCCUGGUGCCAGCAGCCGCGGUAAUUCCAGCUCCAGUAGUUUGCUUUAAAGUUGUUGCGUUUAAAACGCUCGUAGUUGGAUCACGCAGCAGUGUCUAGUAAUCUGCUUUCCGAUGCCGAUCAGUUGGACCGUCAUCGCACGGCCAGUGAGAGAAUUUGGGGGUAGAUGUUUUCGCUAGACACUGCUAGUUGCACGUGAGAUGGAUAGUUGGCCUUAAAUGAGCCGAUAAUCUCGUCUUGCGGGGUGUGCCUUGAAUAAAACAGAGUGCUCAAAGCAGGUCGUUGCCUGAAUGUUAUAGCAUGGAACGAACAAUCGUGUAUAUGUGCGCGUUUUCAGGCGGUAAUUGGUCUUUGGCUGAUUGUUGUUUGAGAUGCGCACGGCACCCACCAAAAUAUGGCUGUUGGUUCCAUAUACGGUGAUGAUUAAAAGGAGCGGUUGGGGGCAUCAGUAUUUGGCCGCGAGAGGUGAAAUUCUUAGACCGGCCAAGGACUAACAAAUGCAAAGGCACUUGUCUAGACCGUUUCCAUUAAUCAAGAACGAAAGUGGGAGGUUCGAAGACGAUCAGAUACCGUCAUAGUUCCCACCGUAAACUAUGCCGACCUGGGAUCAGUCUAGAGAUGUUUCAAGCUCUAGAUUGGUCCCCCUGGGAAACCUCAAGUUUUUCGGUUACGGGGAGAGUAUGGUCGCAAGGCUGAAACUUAAAGGAAUUGACGGAAGGGCACCACCAGGGGUGGAGCCUGCGGGCUUAAUUUGACUCAACACGGGGAAACUUACCUGGUCCGGACAUCGAUAGGAUUAUCAGAUCGAUAGCUCUUAUAUGAUACGAUGAGUGGUGGUGCAUGGCCGUUCUUAGUUCGUGGAGUGAUCUGUCAGCCUAAUGGCGGUAACGAACGAGACCACAGUCUCCAUUUAAGAGAUGGAAGAAGGCGGGCACAGUAUGUGAUUUCGGUCGCCAACCGUGUCCGCCACAGGAAGAGUGAUGCGCUCCUUGGGUGAGUGGGAGGGGGCAACCCUAAGCAUGAUAUCUUUGAGUGAGUCAUUUCUCCCUUCUAUUACGCAGCAGUUGAUUUCGAUUAGUUGUUGCCUUAUGGAGAGACAACGAGGGAUAAACAAGCUCGAGGAAGAGUGGGAAUAACAGGCCAGGGAUGCCCUUUGAUGUUCAGGGCUGCACGCGCGAUACAAUGAUAACGACAGAGAGUGUAUGCGUAGAAAGACGUGGGUAAUUUUUAAUUGUUAUCGUGAUGGGGAUUGACCGUUGUAAUUAUCGGUCAUGAAAGAGGAAUCCCUAGUAUGCGCAUUUU